ensembl:snoRNA SNORA77B small nucleolar RNA SNORA77
GCAGACUCACUCUGUUCCAUGCUGACCGGUCCAGCUUGGUACUUUUUCUGUCUGCUAUAUUAGAUUGCAGAAUGUAGUAAACACCAGCCUUUUCAUAGGCAAGUGUUGGUAUGUUCUGAAACAUUUGA